AGUGCGCCACCCUUCUUACUGCAACUUCAUCUUCUUCGCAGAGACAAAGGAACUCCGAUGUGGCAGCGAACAAAGGUUAAUGGCCAGCAGAGAACUCCAAAUAAUGGUCACAUUUUGGUCCAAGAGAAAGUUAGCUUGAGUAGAAGUCACUGGGGACGCUUAGAAUUCUCAUAAGCGCCAUGACUCUAGCUCGGUGAAGGAUCCUUCAACGUAGCUUCGUAAAGCCAAAAUGAUACAGUCACAAGUGUACCAUCGACUUCGACUCACCCUUAGCUCUUGCCAGUCUUCAGCUCAUCAAAUUUCAGGAUACUCAGAACUAGAGCAACAGUUAUGGCAACACCAACACCGACAUGAUGAGGUGCCCCUGAGCCAACCAUUGGGGCAGUACCUCAAGGGGGAGCAGUGGUUAGAGGCCGUGGUAGAGGUCGCAAAAGAAGAACCACCAGAGGCAUAGAACAAUCACCUUGUCCAACUAGGGAUAGAGUAGUGACCCCUCCACCGGCUGACGAGGUAGCAAGAGAGGGUGAUGAGGGGGAAGAUGAGCAAAUUCAAGAGAAGGAAGCACCACCCUAACCUACACAAGAAAUGAUUAAUCAGGUUCUUAAUUAUCUCAACGGAUUAUCUGAUCAAGGCCAGGCACCACCAAUGUUUUCUGCACCCGCACCUCAGGUUCAAGGAAUACAACAUGCCACUGUUGUGACUCCCUGCAUGGAUGCGUCCUUGGAAACAAAUACGUUUCCCCGAUUUACUACAUGGCCUAUAAUGACUAGUGACCAGCAUGACCUCUUUAUUAAGUUCUUAAAGUUGAAACCUCCCGUCUUCAAGGGUACUGAAUCUGAAGAUGCUUAUGAUUUCCUGGUUGAUUGUCAUGAGCUGUUACAUAAGAUGAACAUAGUGGAGUGAUUCUGUGAUGAGUUUGUGACCUACCAGUUUCAAGGGGAUGCCAAUAAGUGAUGGAGGUCUCAUGUUGAGUGUCGACCAGCAAAGGCACCACCUAUGACUUGGGCAUCAUUUUCUAGCUUCUUCAUGGAGAAGUAUAUACCCCCAGACUUUGAAGGACAUGAAGAGAGAUGAGUUCCUGAACAUAGAGCAAGGAAGGAUGUCUGUUGCAGCUUAUGAGGCCAAAUUUCGUGCAUUAUCCAGGUAUGCCACUCAGCUUUGCUUCAGUCCGCAAGAGCAGAUUCGCCGUUUUGUAAAGGGUUUGAGGUCAGAUUUGCAGAUUCCAGCUUUACAGGUAGCUGCUUCUGUAAAAUCUUUUCAGGAAGUGGUUGAUUUUGUGAUAGAGGUAGAGAGGGUACAGCCGGAUGACUUCACCAAGGUGUCAACGUUUAAGAAGUUCCGUAAGGGAGGUGAGUUUAGUGGUUCGUACUCCAGAGGGCAGAGUUUAGGGAGAUAUCAACCCUGUCCUAUUCAGUCUUAUUGCAGUCUUCAGCUGAGGGUCCGUCGUAGAUCAGUCAUCCUUUUUCUGAGUUUGGGGGUUAUCUCCAGUCUUCUUUAUCUUCACAGAGACCUACACUCGACUCCAGGACUUGUUAUGGAUGUGGAGAGGCCGGACAUAUCAUGAAAUAUUGUCCAAAGAAGAGUCAGGCUCAGAGUUACAAAUCCCCAGAAGCUAGAGGUAGAGGUGGUCAUGGUAGAAGCUGUCAUUCUGGAGGACAUGAUGGCCAAGGUAAUGGUGGUCACCAGUUUAGCCAGGGUGGCGGGAAAGUUGGAACUAUUGGAGUGCAGCCCGGCAGGGGCAAUGGAUAAACAGGUGAUAGGGCUCAUUGUUAUGCGUUCCCCGGGAGGUCAGAGGUAGAGACAUGUGAUGCUCUUAUCACAGUUACU